rnacentral:rRNA from 1 species
AAAGGCAUAAUAUAAACCAUUAUAUAAUGGUAGUCUUUACAUAUUAAAGAAGCUCGUCUUAUAAUCGUAAACACCCGAUAAAUUUCACUUAGUAAUUAUACAAGCUUAUAUACCGCCGUUAAGAAUAAACAACACAAACAAUUCUUCCCUUAUAUAUAUAUAAUAUCAGGUCAAGGUGUAGCUAACGACUAAGAAAAGAUAAGCUACAUAUAAAAACAAUUUAAGAAAGAAAGAAACAAAAAUAAACAGAAAAAGAAUUUAUACGUAAAUAAAUAAUUAAAACUUAAUAUAGAUCUCUACAAUAAAGAUGC